rnacentral:rRNA from 1 species
GGUUAAGUGAAUAAGGGCGCACGGUGGAUGCCUUGGCACUAGGAGCCGAUGAAGGACGGGACUAACACCGAUAUGCUUUGGGGAGCUGUAAGUAAGCUAUGAUCCAGAGAUUUCCGAAUGGGGGAACCCAAUAUCUUUUAUAGGAUAUUACUUUUCAGUGAAUACAUAGCUGAUUAGAGGUAGACGCAGAGAACUGAAACAUCUUAGUACCUGCAGGAAGAGAAAGAAAAUUCGAUUCCCUGAGUAGCGGCGAGCGAAACGGGAAGAGCCCAAACCAACAAGCUUGCUUGUUGGGGUUGUAGGACUCCAAUAUGGUAGUCUGUUAGUAUAGUUGAAGGAUUUGGAAAAUUCCGCUAAAGAGGGUGAAAGCCCCGUAGACGAAAUGCUAACAACACCUAGGAGGAUCCUGAGUACGGCGGAACACGAGAAAUUCCGUCGGAAUCCGCGGGGACCAUCCCGCAAGGCUAAAUACUCCCUAGUGACCGAUAGUGAACCAGUACCGUGAGGGAAAGGUGAAAAGCACCCCGGAAGGGGAGUGAAAUAGAUCCUGAAACCGUGUGCCUACAACAAGUCAAAGCUCGUUAAUGAGUGAUGGCGUGCCUUUUGUAGAAUGAACCGGCGAGUUACGAUUGCAUGCGAGGUUAAGUCGAAGAGACGGAGCCGCAGCGAAAGCGAGUCUGAAUAGGGCGAAUGAGUAUGUAGUCGUAGACCCGAAACCAUGUGAUCUACCCAUGUCCAGGUUGAAGGUGCGGUAAAACGCACUGGAGGACCGAACCCACGUACGUUGAAAAGUGCGGGGAUGAGGUGUGGGUAGCGGAGAAAUUCCAAACGAACUUGGAGAUAGCUGGUUCUCUCCGAAAUAGCUUUAGGGCUAGCCUCGGAAUUGAGAAUGAUGGAGGUAGAGCACUGUUUGGACUAGGGGCCCAUCUCGGGUUACCGAAUUCAGAUAAACUCCGAAUGCCAUUCAUUUAUAUCCGGGAGUCAGACUGCGAGUGAUAAGAUCCGUAGUCGAAAGGGAAACAGCCCAGACCACCAGCUAAGGUCCCAAAAUAUAUGUUAAGUGGAAAAGGAUGUGGGGUUGCACAGACAACUAGGAUGUUGGCUUAGAAGCAGCCACCAUUUAAAGAGUGCGUAAUAGCUCACUAGUCGAGUG